GAUGAACGCUGGCGGCGUGCUUAACACAUGCAAGUCGAACGAAGCACUUUACUACGAUUUCUUCGGAAUGACGGUUUUGUGACUGAGUGGCGGACGGGUGAGUAACGCGUGGAUAACCUGCCUUGUACAGGGGGAUAACAGUUGGAAACGGCUGCUAAUACCGCAUAAGCGCACGGUACCGCAUGGUACAGUGUGAAAAACUCCGGUGGUAUGGGAUGGAUCCGCGUCUGAUUAGCCAGUUGGCGGGGUAACGGCCCACCAAAGCGACGAUCAGUAGCCGACCUGAGAGGGCGACCGGCCACAUUGGGACUGAGACACGGCCCAAACUCCUACGGGAGGCAGCAGUGGGGAAUAUUGCACAAUGGGGGAAACCCUGAUGCAGCGACGCCGCGUGAGCGAAGAAGUAUUUCGGUAUGUAAAAGCUCUAUCAGCAGGGAAGAAGAAAUGACGGUACCUGACUAAGAAGCCCCGGCUAACUACGCGCCAGCAGCCG
rnacentral:rRNA from 1 species